rnacentral:rRNA from 1 species
AUUGAACGCUGGCGGCAGGCCUAACACAUGCAAGUCGAACGAGUGGCGGACGGGUGAGUAAUGUCUGGGAAACUGCCCGAUGGAGGGGGAUAACUACUGGAAACGGUAGCUAAUACCGCAUACCAUCGGAUGUGCCCAGAUGGGAUUAGCUAGUAGGUGGGGUAACGGCUCACUUAGGCGACGAUCCCUAGCUGGUCUGAGAGGAUGACCGGCCACCCGGGAACUGAGACACGGUCCAGACUCCUACGGGAGUCAGCAGUGGGGAAUAUUGCACAAUGGGAGCAAGCCUGAUGCAGCCAUGCCGCGUGUAUGAAGAGGGCCUUCGGGUUGUAAAGUACUUUCAGCGAGGAGGCGUUACUCGCAGAAGAAGCGCCGGCUAACUCCGUGCCAGCCGCCGCGGUAAUAC